rnacentral:lncRNA from 1 species
UUUUUAAAAGGUUGUCAUCAUGUUUAGUUCCUUACUCAUAGCAAAAUUUACUCCUUGCUCGAAAUAAUUUGGCACGCUACUCUCUUUUAAUAACACUCCGUCCUUUAGCACGAUAGAUUAGCACCAUUGGUAAAGUUAAUUUUGAUUAUAGUAUGAGAUGCAUUACUUGUGGAUUAUGCAACGUGUCUUCCUCCCAACAUUUUUGAAUUAUUGUAUGUUAAUGGCUAAGUACUCCCUGUAAUAUAAUAUAUUCAUAAAUGUAUACAUGUGUUAUUUUUUAGUGUCAUCGUCUGGCUUUGUUAAUUUAGUUUAUUUUGUCCUCUUUAAAAGUAAUAUGUCAUGUUGGCCGAUUAGUUGGAUGGCUGUUUGACUUUUAGUUUUUUUUUUCAUUUUGGAUUUUCCUGAAUAGCUCUCAUUUCAACCGAGUUAUGCCUCGUUUGUUAGUUAAUCAAAUUCUAAUUUUGUCUCUUUCGUUUUGUUGUAUGAACCCUUUCCGAGUCCAUGAUGUAUUUCACUCCCUUGCAUUCCCGAAUCGAGCCAUGGAGGCUCAAAAUUCUUUUCGUCGUUGAGUGAAUCAGAUUAUCGGGUGCACAAGAAGAAAUGAGAAAAUACAAGGCGGGCAGAAAUUGAAUUUCCAAGUCCCAAAAAGGGACCAAAAUCUAAGUGAUUUCAACAGGCCCGAAUGAAAAAAAAUGGGCCAAAGCCUCAUUCAAAAAUUGUUGCAGGAACUUUGAAGAAUUGGGCCUAAAAGCCUAUUUUUGCUGAAUUUGGGCAAAGAGCCCAAAUUCAAAUCUUCUCUCCUUUCUCUCCUUUAUUUAUAUUGUAUUGUUCGACUAACCUUGAUUACCUUAUGAUUUAAUUUAAUUAAAUUCACGAGGAGGGUCAUUUCAUUUUAUUUUCCAAAUUAAAGUAUAUAUAUAUAUAUUUUUUAGUACUUGGCUCCUUUUUUAAUGUUAGUUUGGUCAAUACUCAACUAUUCCCCUUUAGAAAAUUUCUCUUUAGUUCAUUCCCCCUUAAGAUAAAUAAAAAUGAUAAAAAUAUUAAUAGUAAUAAAUAAAUAAGUUCUUUUAUUUAGUUAAAAAAAAAUUAAAAAUAAAUGAGGUUUUUUUACUUCGUUAAACUUUUCAAAAUUAGUCAAAGUCGUGAGUUCUUUACUUAGUUUAAUUUUUUUUUUAAAAAAAAAUAAUUAUUUAAAAUAAAUGAGUUCUUUUACUUAAGUUAAAAUUUCAAAAUUAGUCAAAAUCAUUUUGGUCAAAUCGUCGGUUAACCGCAAGUUAGCGGACAUUCCGAGGGUCUAACACCUUCUCGGAAUGUACAUUUGAACUCGAACCCUUUUCUCAAUUGAUUUUAUCUGUUUAAGUUUUUUGAAAAAUCUUGUUUUUUUUCUUGAUUUUUUACUAAAAAAUUAAGUGGCGACUCUGUUCUUUUGGAAAUUCGAUUUCUCUUAAAUCAUAAGUUUAAUCGAUUUUUCGAAAACUCAGUCAUUUUUCUUGUAUAUAUCUUUUUAAACAAAACAGUCAUCUUGCCAAUCCAAUCUAGGUCAUAAGUCAUCCAUGGAAAGGUAUCAUUCAAUACCCAAUCCAAGCUAGGUUUCAUUAGGAUAACUCUUUAUCUUUGAUUCAUUUAGGUGGGAAGACGUUUCAACCUUAGAACCCUUACUAUGUGAGAAAACCUUUCAAGACCACACUUUCAUGUGUAUAUGAGAAAUCCUUUCAACAACACAACAAUAACAUCAUCAUUGAUACCUAACUCUCAAAGUAUCCUUAAAACAUUUUCAUAAAUUUCAUAAGAACAUGCAAAAUUCCAUAAUUCAUCUUUCAAGGUUCAAAACCCACUUUCAAUCAUCAACCUCUAGAAAACAUGGGUGGACAUGGGUUUCUUCAUAAAUUCAUGUAAUUCUAUCAUUUCAUGCUUGAUUUCAUAAAACUCUUCAUUCAUAAUGCAAGACCCACAUUAUAUGCUCAUAACUUGGGAAAACAUGGGGAUUUCAUGGGUUUAUAGGGGAAUCAUAAUAAAAUCAUAGUAUUUCAUCAAUUCAUGCAUAAGAGAUCAUAAGUCAAUCAUUUAAAUCAAUAAUCAAGAGAACCCAUGGAAUUGAAGAAAACCCUAACUCAAUCGUGGAUUUCUAAUUGUGAAAAUAGGAGAAUCUGUGAACUCAAUGAAUGGAAGAAAUCCAUGGAUGAAAACUAGCAUACCUUACUAUCAAAACGCAAAAGAAAUUGAAGAAUGAAGGCUUGAUCUUGAACCCUAGUUUGAAUCUUCUUCUUCAACCUUCUAGGGAGAGAAAUAUCUUUGGGAAAGAGAGAGACUCAACUUCUUUUGGUGAAUUUGAAUAGAAUGAAUUAAAUUUGGGGUUAAAAUCACUAAUAUAGCGGUUUUAGUGAAGGGUAAAAUGACAUAGUAUUAGGAUAAAAUAAUUAGCAAAAGACACAACUGCCCCUAGGAAAUAACUACCGACCCCAAACAAUGGCCUAACAAAUGGACCGUGGUUUGAUCGACGGUCCGUCCUGCUGGUCCGUCGUUUGGCAUCAGAAUGUGGAAUGUGAGGCAAUGAUCCACGGACCUCAAUCCAAGGUAUAUGGACCCAAUGACGGUCCGUUGGUCCAGGUCAUGGCUCAUGAUCAUAUGAACCUAUUUUGGGUGGCCAAUCCACGGACUAGACCUACGGUCCGUGGCUUAGUGCACGAGCUAUGGCUGGCCUCCGUCGGAUGGCACCAGAAAUUUCUGAAAACUGCUAUUAUGUCCCUUCUUGAAUCCGAGGUUUUACCACAUCAUCCUCGGCCCUCUCAACAUUAUCAUACACAUAAAUAUCAACACUAGCAGUUGUCUUAGGCUGCACACCGGAAGUAGGCUCACUACUAGGUAUCUGUGCUGGCAUGGAAGUAAGUGCAUUCGGUAGGGAACCUCACCCCGUAGCAUCUAAAUGUCAGUAGACUAUAACUGAGUCACCUCCGCUCGUAAUUUAGCAAGAUUCUCUCUCAUAAUGUCUAGGUUACCAGAACUACUUUGGCCUUAUCUUGGGCCUCAAUUCUAGCGGUGAGGGUGUCCAGCCUCAAACCAUGGCUCUCAACCAAGCCUUCACACCUACUCACCCUGUCUCUCGAUGGAGCUAAGGCUUUCUCUAUAGCCCUAUGAAUGAUCCAGGGCAUGUCUGUCUUAACCCGUGCGACUCUAACAUCCGCUGAUCGGGCAAGGCUGCCGAACUUAUAAAUUAUAGCCUGGGUCAAAGGGGAUGGGUCAUAGAAGUAGCGGUAGGCCUUAGAGAAUUAGCAUCAACAGACACAGUACUAGUAAGAGCAAUAGUAGAAGAAGGCACAAAAGAAGGUGUGGAAAUACUUACCUGUUCCACGGAAGGAGCAGAUGUGCUAGCCCCAGCUGUUAUGUGGUAGGAUCAACCACAUAUGUCAUAUCAGUUGGUUGCGGCUUCUUGAGAGUCGCAUAAUCCCGUAAGUACUCAACCUCAAUCUGUCUGAUAUAGCUGAAAGAUUCUGGGGUGAUCCUCACAUCUGUAGCUUCCCUAAAGGGGACUCUUGCCCUCUCACACAACUAUGUAAUAAGGACAAGGAAUAGGAGAGAUAUCUUCUCCUAGCUAGCCCUCUUCAAUAUCUCAUCGACAAUAAUCACACCCAUAUGAAUGUGCUCCCUGUCAAUGAUGGUGCCCACUAGAAUUGGCUUGUCAUGGUGAAGGACAAACUCCUUUUGUGACAGGAUGAUGUUACUCUUGAUGAAGCCAAACAAGUAUCGUGCUACCACAUUCACAUCCUUCUUCUCAAUUUGAGCACCACCAGUCAUCUAGGAGGGAGAAAAAUUAGAAAUUAGAGGAGCCAACCACCCUUCAAAGAGUCCAAGUCAUGUCGCAUCCGAAGUGCAUACAAGUUUGCUUGAAAUCCUGGUAUUCCCAGUGCAGUGUUAAUUGCCCAGUAUUGCAUUGUACUUUCAUGCCGCGCACUUCCACUUCUUCAAGCGACUUCCAAAUUGUACCAUUCCACUUUUUGGUAGGUCCUGAGCAUAAGUUGUGUAGAACUCUCGCACCCAAGAAGGAAUAUAAAGGGAUCUUUGCUUUGUGAACCCCUCAAACUUGUGAGAUUGAAUGUUCUACCAAAUAGUUUGCUACUUGAUCAUGACUCCAUUUGUAGAAAUACAUCUCUCCUCAAGAAUAGUUCUCUCUCCAGCAGCUUUUAGCCUAUUAAGGGAUCUUGGAGAGAUAACUGAGAGAACCCUAAAAGUAGGUGCUUGUGCGGAGAAGAGUUGCACCAAUUUGAACUGGAUUUGUGUCCUUUUCCUAACAACCCCCAUUUUAGGUUGUACUAUUUCUUGGGUAGAAGCUUGUGGAGUGGUCAACUAUUGACGACGAGGAGCCUCAGAAGACUCGUUUAUGGAAAUUCCCUUGUGUCUCUUUAGAGGAGAAGGAGGAUGAGAGUCUUUUUCACACUCGAUGUCGGAUGUUACCACUUGCUUUCUUUUUGUUCAUUCCAUAAUCUGCAAGCACACAUAGGAUUUAUGAUGGUUAGUUGAAAUGAAACUCACUUCGAAUCAAAGUUCUAAAACUAUCCUGAGGCUCUCCUAACAGGAAGAUGGAUCACGAAAAAGAAUCAGUGGGCUCCGGUGAGCUCACCAAAUCAGACGGUAGUAAAAAUCCCAGGAAUCAGUCAUACAAGGCACAUCAAUUCCAUCUCGACGGUUCACCGAGUCAGUUUUGGCGGGCUAAGACAAGUCCGCCGAAAAUGAUAGUGCAAAUUGGUAAAAGAUAGGCAUCAAAGGCGAUGUCCACCCCUACUCGGUGAUUUGGAUCUUGAAUACGCUUGAAAUUUUGGAUCUAGAUUUGAAGUUUAACCAUCUUUGAGGGUGGGAAGAAUAUCUCCAAGAAGUCAUCAUUUAAUUCCUCCCACAAAGUGAUAGAAUCAUUUGGCAAUUUCGCCAACCAUCUUGAAGUUUCUCCCGUAGGCGAGAACAAAAAUAACCUCAACCUUACAAACUCUUGAGAGAUAUUCUUGAACACAAAUGGUCCACAUACUUUUAUGAAAUUCCUAAGGUGUUCAUGGGGAUCCUCAUGAUCUAGGCCCCCAAAAUAUUCUUUCCGUUGGAGCAGUUAAAGCAUUGUUCCAAUUAUGUUAAACACAACCCUCCCGUCUGUGAGAGGUAUCCGGAUGGCUCCCGUUAUUUGAAUAAUAUUCAUAUCAUUCAAAUCAUCCAUAUUGUCAUUUUGACCAUAGUGACUAUCGUUGUCACUACCAUGAUCACUCAUUGUAUAAAACAUCCUAAUCAGCCAGUAACAACACGAAACAACAAUCUACUGCAACUAAACAAAAUUACAAACUAAUUUCUCAAUUAUAAUUCUCAACCACCACUCCCUGGCAGCGGCGUCACUUUUGACAACACUCAAAUUUCCUCCUUAAAACAAAUAAUAUGUGCAACGGUCAUAGUCGAUAAAAAUCCAACAAAGAGUCAGGGUCGAAUUCCACUGGGAAUGGUAUAUCGUAAAAGAAUUUUUAUAUAGAAAUUUGGAUUCUAGGGUGUGUUUGAUAUGCCGGAAAAUGUUUUCCAAUUUUCUUAUGUUUGGUUGGGUUAAAUGUUUUGGAAAAUGUUUUCCAAAUCAACUCAUUUUCCUCAAAUUUAAGGAAAAUGACUUCCCUUCAAAACUUAAGGAAAACAUUUUCCAAAACACUCUUCCAACUUCAAAUUACAAUUUUAUUUUUGUUGAAAAAAAUCAAUUUAUUUUGUCACUACCCUCAAACCACCUUCCCCAACCAUCCCCCUCCCCAAUUUUUUUUUAACUUUGUUUUUAAAAAAUAUUUUCUACUUCAAAAUAUUUUUUUUCACCCCUACCCUCGACCCCCCCACUACCCCAACCCCCAACCCCUCACCCCCCAAAAAAAUUAUGUUUAUUUUUAAAAAAUAUUUUCGAUUUCAAAAAUUAUUUUCUACUCUAGUAAAAAUAAAAGAUAUUUCUCAAAAACAUUUUUCAUUCAUAAAUCAAACACUAAAAAUCUUUUCCGGAAAAUAUUUUCUAUUCACCAACCAAACAUGAGAAAAUAAGUCAAAAAUCUACUUGUUUUCCAGGAAAAAAAAUUCCUUCAUACCAAACACACCCCUAAAGUUGUUCAUUUGUAAUAGUAAGAGAACAAGUUUGUGGAUGAUACAACCAAUUUAAUAAAAAGCUUUGGUUAUCAAUUAUCAUGAUUAAAAUAAAAAUUUGGAGAAUUCAAGAGUUAACAAUCAAUCUAGGGGUGCAGGGAUCGGAAAUCAAAGUCACAUAGGGGUAAUUGUGCUUCUCUAUAGUGAUGAACAUUCAUGAAUAGGCUAAGUAAUCUUCAUUGACGCUAAUCCUCUUUCGAUCUCAAAGCAUCUAUACAUAGAAUCUCCUUUCGAUCUCAUCUAAAUGCCAAUCUAAACAACCCAAUACCUUAUUCUAUUCUCUCUUUCGAUGCAGAAAUAAGGCAAAUAGAUCCGACACAUGACCUCUAUUUACAAGAAAGUUACAAAUAUCAAACUUAAAUUGCAAGUAUUGGACUAAUUACCCACUCCAAUCAAUCUCUUUCGAACAUAGAUCGGAAGUAAAAAUUAACUUUACAACCUUAACCCAUAAAUUAACCUCAUUCUAAUUAGACCAAAUUCAUGUAUGAACAACAAUAAAAUAGAGCAUACAACACUAACCACUACAUUAAAUCAACACCCAACCCCAUAAUUUCACCCCUAGAUCUUGAGGGUUUAGCCACCCAUCACAAAAAGUAAAGAGAUUAUACCUUCCAUAAAAGCAUUCAUUGGUAACAUGAAAUUAAGUAAUUACAAGUAAACCCACUUUGGAUUCAACUUAAAUUUGUCAAUUUGAAGAAAAAAAGUUGAAAGCCCCAAAAGUUAGAAAGUGUUAUUCACAAAAGUUAAGUGCUAUCUCUCAAAACUCAAAAUAUUUCUCGCUCUUUUUAUUUUUCAAAACUUAGGAUUUUUCCCUUAAUUUCUCUCUUCUUUGGGCUAUUUAUAAUUUCACAAAAUUAGGCCCAAAAUCCAAUGCGUGUCUCAUUUGACGACAUUAGUUGGGCUCACUGAGCUCGUUCGGCGAAUCGCCCCUUACUAAUCAGCUCGCCUUUUCAUGGUCUAGGCUUUAGGUGUUUGAACCUCAGUCGUCGAACUCGUUUGAGUCAGCCUUUCACAUUCGGCGAAUCACCGAGUACCACAUUUGUUUAAAUUUUCAACAUUCAAUCUUUUCUUUUUACACUGUUAUUUUCGAUGAGUAUUAGUGAGGUCGCCUUUCUCAUUCGGUGCAUGGCCUUCUCGUUUGGAUUUCACCUACUUGUUUGGAUAGACAUAAGUGCUAUGUACUGUCAUUUUGGGUAAAGUUAGGGUCACUAGGUGAUCUGUCUUUCUCGUUUGGCGAUCAACAAUGUAUAGUUUGCACAUAUUUUUGCAAUUGUAGCCAUUCUUUCAAACAUCAAUCCUUGCCUUCUCCAUUUGACUUCAUAGCAGCAAAUCAUCAAAAUAUCAUCAGAAUAGAAAAAAAUUAGGCAUUUAGGACACUAAUUAUUGAGUUAAAUAUACCUCAAAUAAGUGUAAAUCUACCACUCAUCACUCUUGCUGUAGCACACAGGUUGGAGUUAUAUCUUUUGCUUGUGCGCAAAGUCUAGUGGCUAGAAUGUAAUUAUCUUAUUUGAUCUAUGUGUGUGAUGUGAGUAGGGAGGUCCCUCUAGAUGAGUCAGUUCUAGUUGUCCGUGACUAUGCAUAUGUGUUUUUUGUGUACCAACCUGGCUUAACCCUAGAAUGUGAUAUUGACUUUUUGAUUGAGCUUGAGCCGAUAAUUCGACUAUUUUCUAUUUUGACAUAUCAAAUGGCUUUUGCAGAGCUCAAGGAUCUCAGUGUUAAACUUCAGGAUCUCUUGGGUAAGGGACUCAUUGGGCCUCGUGAAUCGCCUUGGGGUGCUCCUAUUCUCUUUGCAAAGAAGAAGGACCGUACGAUAAGAAUGUAUAUUGAUUAUAGACAUCUGAAUAAGGUGACGAUGAAGAGCCAUUACCACAUGCCUAUGAUUAAUGAUCUGUUUGACCAUCUUUAGGGUGCCUUGAUAUUUUUUAAGAUUGAUCAGAGAUCUGAUUACAAUCAGCUGAGGAUUAGGGCAUCGUACAUCCCUAUGACCGCAUUUUUGACUCGAUAUGGCCAUUAUGAGUUCCUUGUGAUGUCUUUUCAGUGGACUAGUGCAACUUCCUCCUUAAUGGACUUGAUAACGCGGGUGUUUAGGCCUUAUCUACACUUAUUCAUUAGAGUUUUUAUAGAUGAUAUCCUUGUAUACUCCCGAAGCAAGAGAGAUCAUGAGAACCAUUUGAGGACUAUUCUCCAAACAUUGAGAUAUUAGCAACUUUAUGCCAAGUUCUUAGUGUGCGAGUUUUUGCUAGAGUCUAUAGCAUUCUUGGGGUACUUUGUGUCAAAGAAUGGCAUCAUGGUAGAUCCGAUAAAGAUUGAUGCUUUUUCUGAUUCGGCUAGGGUCACUUCAUUACUGAGAUUCGGAGCUUCGUCAGUUUUGAUGAAUACUACAGAUGGUUUGUGGAGGGAUUUUCCACUAUUGAAACACCUUUUACAUAGUUGACUCAUCUUCAUUUUCCUUUGAGUGGCCUAAGGAGCGUGAGUUGAGCAUUCAGUUGCUUAAGAAGUUGCUAACCACCACUCUUAUGCUGAAUCUUCCAGCUGAUAAAGAGAGCUUCAUGGUAUAUUUUGACACAUCCGAUAUUUUUCUUGGUUCUGUAUUGAUGUAGCGGGAUUGAAUAUUGCUUAUGAAUCGAGGAAGCUUAAGCUACAUAAGUGAAACCACCCCACUAAUGACUUGGAGUUGAUGUCGGUAGUUUUCGUGCUUAAGAUCUGGAGGCACUACCUGUACAGAGUUCUUUGUGAGAUCUACACUGAUCACAUGAGUCUUUAGUACAUUAUGAGCCGGAGGGACCUUAAUUCAAGGCAGCAUUGUCGGAUUGAGCUUCUGAAGGAAUAUGACCUCUCUAUUCUCUAUCAUUCGGGCAAGGCGAAUGUAGUAGUGGAUACCUUGAGCCAGAAGGCGGUGAGUAUGGGCAGUCUAGCCUUCCUGUCUACUAUAGAGCGACCUUUGGCUUUGGACAUUAGUCCUAAGCUAAUCAGAUGAUUCAGUUAGAUAUUUUAGAUUCUAGGAGUAUCUUAGCCUAUGUAGGAAUUAUCAGGUCUGUGGUCGUCAGUUUGAGGAUGAGACUUUUGUGGUGCUUCUAGAUCGAGUGUUAUAAGGGACGCCGAUCAGGCUACCUUAUAUUUAGAUAGAAUUAUGAGGUUUGCUGACCUAAUUUAUGGUUCGAAAGUUGGGGAUUUGAUUCGUUGAUACUUCGUGAGGCCCAUGAUGCUAUAUACUCUAUCCACCCAGCCAACACAAAGAUGUAUCUCGACUUGAGGUAGCAUUAUUAGUGAAGCGACAUAAGGAGAGAUACUAUAGAUUAUGCGUCCUAUUGCCUCUACUGCUAUCAGGUGAAGGCCGAGCAUUUGAGGUCUGAUUGUGAGUUUGAGAGAUUACCCAUUCAGGAGGGAAAGGGGGACCACAUCACUAUGGAUAUUGUUAUCGGUUUGCCUCGAACUUCUAGAGGUGUUAACAGCAUUUGGAUCAUCUUUGAUUGAUUGACCAAGUCAUCACACUUCCUCCCUGUUCAAUCUUCAUUCAAUACUACGAGGUUGGCCCAUAUCUACAUUCAAGAUGUGGUUCAUCUUCAUGGUGUGCCUAUAUCUAUCAUAUUAAUUAGAUCAGGGUGCCCAGUUCACUUCUAGCUUUUGGAGGACCAUUCAAGAGGAGUUACGCACCCAUGUCGAUCUUAACAUAAUAUUCCACUUGCAGACUGAAGAUCAACCCGAGUGUACUAUUCAGGUUCUUGAGGAUAUAUUGUAGGCUUAUGUUUUGUAGUUCAGAGUCCAGUAGGAAAAGUUCUUGCCUUGGAGGAGUUUACAUACAACAACAUCUACAACAACAUGUCACAUGGGUAUUCGCCUCUUGUCAUUCUAUAAGGAUCAUGGGUACUCACCUCUUGACCAAAUCAUAUCUUAAGAAUAUGGGGAGUCCCCUCUUGUUCAACUUUAAGGAAUAAGGGUAAUCACCUCUUUAUUCUACUUCAUGGAAUAUGGGUAAUCGCCUCAUAUCCAUCUCAUUUGGAGGUCAUGGGAAUCACCUCUAGCCUCAUCAAUAUCUUAGUCAUUAGCAUUAGAUUCAUUUUAGGUGAGCAAUCAUUUCAACCUAGAAUAAUUCAAGGUGAGAAAACCUUUCACAUGCAUAACAUAAGCAAUUCAUGUGGGAACUAUCCCUUCCACAACAAUUACAUCAAAAUUCAACAAUUGACAACAUAAGCUUUACUAUCAAAGCACUAUAUCUCAUAGUCAUUCUAUAUGCUCAAUCUCAAGCAAUUCAAUAUCAUUAUCAUAUCAUAAGAUUCAAUCUCAAAGCAAUCCUAAUCAUGAUUCAUCAUAUAUAGGCUUCAAUUCUAAUAUAUCUCAUCAAUCCUACAUUGAAUACAUCUAAACCCACAAAUUCUCCUUUAAUGGCAUAAAACCCAUCUACAGUUCGUAGUCCCUUCCACGGGUCGUGGGUGGCCGACGUGGGUUGCACCUGCAAAUUUCUGGGAAUCAGUUUCAUUUCCCUUUUUUGGAUACGGGGUGUUACAAUAUCUCCCCCAUUGGGACCAUUCGUCCUCGAAUGAGAUUCAAGUUGGUUCUAAAUGAGUAGGAGAGGAACUAACAACCCAACCUACAAUGCAAUGCAUACAACCAAGGAGAUACUAUCGACUCCAAGCUAGGACGUUCUCAAAACAUCAUAAGAGAGGUGAAAUUAAAUCUAGUAGCCCAUUAUGCAUGCAAUGCACAUAAACAAGGAGGAAACAUCAACUCCAAGCUAAUCAUACUCAAAUGCAUUAUAAGGAAGUAUGAACUAUAUCUAGCAACCCAAUAUGCAUGAAAUUUCAAAAUUUCUCAUGUUCAAGGAGGAACUAUCUUCUCCAAGCUAAAAACAUGCUCAACACAAUCUCAUGGAGCCCAUAUUCAUCAUUCAUAUCAUGAAGUCUAUAGGAAACUCAUACUCAAUGCACAACAACAUGAGAAAAAUCAAUCAUAUAAACUCAUUUUCUUUCAAAACACAAGUUUUCAUAAACAUGCAUCACAUAAGGAAAUCAUGGAAACACAUAAAACACAUGACUUCCCAAAACAAAAGACAAACCAAGAGGAACUCAUUACCUCAAGCUAGAGUAGAAGUAUAAGGAAGGAGAUGAGGAUAUUGGGACAUCAUAUCGGCCUCGGCUUCCCAAGUAGCACCCUCAACUAACUGAUUCCUCCACAAUACUUUUACGGAAGCUAUUUCCUUGUUUCUCAACUUCUUGACUUGCCGGUCUAGUAUCUCUAUCGGAACUUCCUCAUAAGAAAGACAUUCAUCAAUUACCAACCCUUCUAAGGGAACUAUCGAUGUCAGAUCUCCAACACACUUCUUAAGCAUAGAGACAUGGAAAACAUGAUGAAUUGUUGCAAACUCAUUUGGCAAAUCUAACUCAUAAGCAACCUUACUGACACGCCUUAAUAUUUGAUAUGGGCUUACAUAUCGGGGAGUAAGCUUCCCCUUCUUACCAAACCUCAUAACACCCUUCGUGGGUGAGAUUUUCAAGUAAACCCAAUCGUUAACAUCAAACUCUAGAUCUUUUUCUCACAUCGACAUAUGACUUUUGCCGACUUUGAGCCAUUUUUAACCUCUCUCUAAUAAGCUGGACUUUCUCCAUAGCCUCAUGAACUAACUAGGGUCCUAUCAAGGAAAAUUCACCCACCUCAAACCAACCUAUAGGAGAUCUACACCUCGUACCAUAAAAAGCUUCAAAGGGAGCCAUACCACCACUAGAAUUGUAGUUAUUAUUAUAAGUAAACUCAAUCAAUGGAAAGUAAUCAUCCUAAUUUCCCUUGAAAUCGAUGAAUCACGCUCUCAAUAUAUCCUCUAAAGUUUGGAUAGUCCGCUAUGCUUGCCUAUCGAUUUGUGGGUGAAAAGUCGUACUAAGCUUCACCUUAGUGCCAAGACCCUUUUGGAAUGACUUCCAAAACUGGGAAGUAAAUUGAGUACCUCUAUCGGAGAUAAUGGACAAGGGUACCCCAUGCAACCUUACCAUUUCCCUCAAAUAUAACUUGGCAUAGUCCUCCGCCGCAUAAGAAACUUUGACGGGAAUGAAAUGGGCCGAUUUCGUCAAUCGGUCUGCUAUGACCCAAAUCAAAUCAUAUUGCCGCCGAGUACGUGGAAACCCUACUAUAAAGUCCAUAUUCAAGUCUUCCCACUUCCAAGUAGGAAUGUUAAUGUCUUGGGAUAAACCUCCCUAUUCUGAUGCUCAACUUUCACUUGUUGGCAAUUUUUACACUUAGCCACAAAUCCCACAAUAUCCUUAUUCAUCAUAUUCCAUCAAUAGACCUCCCGCAAAUCACGGUACAUCUUGGUAGCUCCUAGGUGAAUGGAAUAUCGAGAACUAUGUGCUUUUGUCAAGAUCUGUUCCCUUAAAUCAUCAACAUUAGGAACACAUAAUCGACCUUGAUAUCUAAGUACACCAUCUCCCCCUUAGGAGAAAGUCUCAAUGGACUUCUUGAGCACCGCUUUUAUCAAUUCUACUAAAGUUAGAUCUACAAAUUUCUUAGCUUUCACGUCACUCACAAAAGACGAUUCGGAACCAUUAUGGACUAUAACACAACCCUUGGUGGAAUCAACUAGCUGAACUCCCAAAUGGGCCAAUCUAUGUACAUCUCGUACCAAUUCUUUCUUAUCAUCAUCAAUGUGAGCAACACUACCCAUAGAUAACCUACUAAGAGCAUCCGCUACCACAUUCGCCUUACCGGGGUGAUAAAGAUCCCUCAAAUUAUAAUAUUUCAAUAACUCAAGCCACCUUUUUUGGUGAAGAUUCAGAUUUUUCUAAUUAAACAUAUAUUGCAAGCUCUUGUAGUCGGUGAACACAUCUACAUGAACACCAUACAAAUAGUGCCUUCAUAUCUUUAAGGCAAAAACCACCGCCGCUAAUUCAAGAUAAUUGGUAGGAUAAUUGUUCUCAUGAAUUUUAAGUUGCCUUGAGGCAUAGACAAUAACUUUCCAAUUUUUCAUAAGAACACAUCCUAACCCAAUUAUUGAGGCAUCACAAUACACCACAAAAUCAUUUGUCCCUUCCGGUAAAGUCAACACCAAAGUGGAAGUAAGUCUAUCGUUCAACUCUUGGAAACUCUUCUCACAUACUUCGGACCAUAUAAACUUAGCCAUCUUUUGAGUCAAAGCCGUCAAUGGAGAGGCGAUAGAAGAAAACCCCUCAACAAACCGUCGGUAAUAACCGGCCAAACCUAAGAAACUUCUAAUGUCCAAAGGUGAUAGAGGUCUAGUCCAACUAAGGUUGACAAACGGACAGGACCGGAUCAACAGGACCGGUUUUACCGGAACCGGUCCUCGUUACCGGAUUUCGUUACCGGAACCGGGUCUUACCGGAACCGGUUUUAUCGGAAAUUUCCAAUGGUUCCGUCCAGUCCCUUAGUUACCGGAUUGGAAUCGGUUUGGACCGGACCAGAACCGGUUCUUACCGGAUCAUUGUGUACCGGUAAUUAUUUUUUAUUUUUUAUUAACUUUAAUUAUUAUAUAAUAAUAUAUUAUUAAUUAAUAAAAUUAUAUUAUUAAAAAACUUCAAUUUAAAACUUUAAACUUUAAAGUUUAAAGUUUAUAUUGAAUUUAAAAUUGACUUUAAAUUUUAAAGUUUAUAUUGAAUUUAAAGUUUAAACCUUAAAAUUCAAUUUUAUAUUAAAGUUUAAACUAAUAUUAAAAUAGUUGAAAAUUAAAAUUUCUAAAAUGACUUGGAUUAAAUAUAAGAGACUAUUUUAAAAGGAAAUCAAGGCAAAUAGCCAUAUAUUUAUUCAAAUAAAUAAAUUGUACAAUACAAAUAUUAGAAAGAGACAAAGAGUACAUAAUCUAGGUAUUGAAUAUUAAUUAUUGUACUAACAAUUGAAAUUUUUUUAAAAAUCUUUUCGUAACUUUUGUAUCAUUUCAAAAGAAACAUUUUUUGGAACUUGUAUUUGUCGUUCUUCUUCCAUUGCUUCCAU